rnacentral:rRNA from 1 species
AUUGAACGCUGGCGGCAUGCCUUACACAUGCAAGUCGAACGGCAGCACGGGUGCUUGCACCUGGUGGCGAGUGGCGAACGGGUGAGUAAUACAUCGGAACAUGUCCUGUAGUGGGGGAUAGCCCGGCGAAAGCCGGAUUAAUACCGCAUACGAUCUACGGAUGAAAGCGGGGGACCUUCGGGCCUCGCGCUAUAGGGUUGGCCGAUAGCUGAUUAGCUAGUUGGUGGGGUAAAGGCCUACCAAGGCGACGAUCAGUAGCUGGUCUGAGAGGACGACCAGCCACACUGGGACUGAGACACGGCCCAGACUCCUACGGGAGGCAGCAGCGGGGAAUUUUGGACAAUGGGCGAAAGCCUGAUCCAGCAAUGCCGCGUGUGUGAAGAAGGCCUUCGGGUUGUAAAGCACUUUUGUCCGGAAAGAAAUCCUUGGCUCUAAUACAGUCGGGGGAUGACGGUACCGGAAGAAUAAGCACCGGCUAACUACGUG